rnacentral:rRNA from 1 species
GGUUGUAAACUGCUUUUAUACAGGAAGAAACACUGCUACGUGUAGCAGCUUGACGGUACUGUAAGAAUAAGGACCGGCUAACUCCGUGCCAGCAGCCGCGGUAAUACGGAGGGUCCAAGCGUUAUCCGGAAUCAUUGGGUUUAAAGGGUCCGCAGCGGUCAAUUAAGUCAGAGGUGAAAUCCCAUAGCUUAACUAUGGAACUGCCUUUGAUACUGGUUGACUUGAGUUAUACGGAAGUGGAUAGAAUGUGUAGUGUAGCGGUGAAAUGCAUAGAUAUUACACAGAAUACCGAUUGCGAAGGCAGUCCACUACGUAUAUACUGACGCUCAUGGACGAAAGCGUGGGGAGCGAACAGGAUUAGAUACCCUGGUAGUCCACGCCGUAAACGAUGGACACUAGUUGUUGGCAUUAGCUCAGUGCUAAGCGAAGUGAUAGUGUCCACCUGG